rnacentral:lncRNA from 1 species
GCACCCUCCCUUUCCUCCUAUCCAGGUCCACUCUCCACACCUACAAAGAGAUUUUCGGAUUUCUGGACAGUGUUAAUCUCCCCUCUCCUGUGCUCCUAGGAGUGCUGCUAGUCCCCCUUUGAUGGCACCCAGGCGAUCCUUCCCUGCACCCUGGUUGUGUCUCCUUCACCAGGCUGUGAACUCCCUGGGCACUAGAACUGAGUAUUAUCCAUGUCAGAAUUCCCCUCAGAAGCUGGCACAGGACAGGAGCUUAGUAAGCAUUUGUUGAAAUAGUGAAUUUUAUUUGACUGGUGUGACAUAACCCUCUCCCUUUCUUGGCAGCUUUUAAAACCCUUGGAAUCUCACCAAUGAUAGUGUCUUUUUUAUGCUAACGCGUGACUGACAGCUGGGGGUUCCUGGAUAGCCUAGGGAUGGGAGCUGUUUGCCAGGGAAUCAACCAUGAGAUAAGAGGGUUGGAGCUUUCAGCCCUACUCACUCCACCCCACCCCACCCCAUCCCACCUCCAGGAAGAGGAGGGAGAGUGAAGGCUGAGUCAAUGAUCAAUGCCUCAUGAUUUAAUCAGUCAUGCCUCUGUAAUGAAACCUCCACAAAAACCCUAAAGGAAGAGGUUUGGAGAGCUUCUGGGUUGGUGAACACAUGCAGGUACUGGGAGGGGGGUGCCCCAGAGAGUGCAAGGAGGCUCUGUGCCCCUUUCCACAUACCUUGCCCAAUGCAUCUCUUCCAUCUAGCUGUUCGUGAGUUGUAUCCUUUCAUAAUAAAUGGUAAUCUGAUAAGUAAAUUAUUUUCCUGGUUUCUGUGAGCCAUUUUAGCGUAUGAUCAAACCAGAAGACGGUGUCAUGGGAACCUCCGAUUUAUGGCUGUUCGGUCAGAAGCACAGGUGAUAACUGGGACUUGUCAUUGCUGUCUGAAAUGGGAGCAGUCUUGUGAGAUUGAACCCUUAACCCGUGGGAUCUGAUGCUAUCCCCUGCCUUUGCCCACCGCUAAAUAAUCAGAUCCAGGGAAGCAUCAAAAGUCAAAGAAAGGAUGAAGAGAAGUUGCUUCCAGCAACAGUGGGUGGGGCUUUCCAUUUAAAUUCUGCCUUCAACUUCCAAAAAAUAUCCUCUUGGGAAACUUAUUACUCAUGAAAAUGAAGAGAAGGUGUUUUCCUCCAUGGAGCAAUCUCUGCCUUGAAAAGUCUCCAUCCCUCUUCCUAGCCCAGAGAGAUGAUCCCACAAGGAAGUGGAUUUUGUUGCUUAAUCCUAGUUAACUGAAUUCUGUUU